UACUUCUACUCAUUCAGAUAAUAGAAAGCAUAAUUCACCACGAGAUACGAGAACUCCAACACCAGAAGCUCCAUCAUUAGCUUUUCCAAUAAAUCGUAAAUCUGUAUCUAUAAAAUCCCCUGAACCUGUUGAAUUGAUAGAUGAUGAUCAUCAC